rnacentral:rRNA from 1 species
AUUGACUAAGGUUUCCAGAGGAAGGCUCGUCCGCUCUGGGUUAGUCGGGUCCUAAGCUGAGGCCGAUAGGCGUAGGCGAUGGAUAACAGGUUGAUAUUCCUGUACCACCAUGAAUCGUUUUAAGCGAUGGGGGGACGCAGUAGGAUAGGCGAAGCGUACGAUUGGAUUGUACGUCCAAGCAGUAAGACUGAGUGUUAGGCAAAUCCGGCACUCAUAAGGUCAAGCUGUGAUGGGGAGAGGAAAUUGUUUCCUCGA